rnacentral:rRNA from 1 species
GACGAACGCUGGCGGCGUGCUUAACACAUGCAAGUCGAACGGAGCGAAUGAAAGCUUGCUUUUAUGAGCUUAGUGGCAAACGGGUGAGUAACACGUAGACAACCUGCCGAUAGGAUGGGGACAACAUUCCGAAAGGAAUGCUAAUACCGAAUGGCGUGUAGGGGAGGCAUCUCCCGUACAUGAAAGAUGGCCUCUGAAUAUGCUAUCACCUAUCGAUGGGUCUGCGUCUGAUUAGCUAGUAGGUAAGGUAACGGCUUACCUAGGCGACGAUCAGUAGCCGGUCUGAGAGGAUGAACGGCCACAUUGGGACUGAGACACGGCCCAGACUCCUACGGGAGGCAGCAGUGGGGAAUCUUCCGCAAUGGGCGCAAGCCUGACGGAGCAACGCCGCGUGAGUGAAGAAGGUCUUCGGAUCGUAAAGCUCUGUUGAAGGGGACGAACGUAUAUAGUGCGAAUAGUGCUGUGUAAUGACGGUACCUUUGAGGAAGCC